rnacentral:rRNA from 1 species
AGUGAACGCUGGCGGUAGGCCUAACACAUGCAAGUCGAACGGCAGCACAGUAAGAGCUUGCUCUUACGGGUGGCGAGUGGCGGACGGGUGAGGUAUACAUCGGAAUCUACUUUGUCGUGGGGGAUAACGUAGGGAAACUUACGCUAAUACCGCAUACGACCUACGGGCGAAAGCAGGGGAUCUUCGGACCUUGCGCGUUUGAAUGAGCCGAGGUCGGAUUAGCUAGUUGGAGGGGUAAAGGCCCACCAAGGCGACGAUCCGUAGCUGGUCUGAGAGGAUGAUCAGCCACACUGGAACUGAGACACGGUCCAGACUCCUACGGGAGGCAGCAGUGGGGAAUAUUGGACAAUGGGCGCAAGCCUGAUCCAGCCAUGCCGCGUGGGUGAAGAAGGCCUUCGGGUUGUAAAGCCCUUUUGUUGGGAAAGAAAAGCAGCGGGUUAAUACCCCGCUGUUCUGACGGUACCCAAAGAAUAAGCACCGGCUAACUUCGUG